GCAUACCUGAUUGAGCACUGAACGUUGUCGCCGUAUGCUGUUUUCCUGGCUACCACCGUCAUGUAUACAACGAGUUAUUAUAUUUAUAACACCUAUUGCCAAAUAUAUCGUAAUAUACACGCAUAUGUAUACUGUUCCAGUCAAAUUAAUGGGCAACAUAGAAACAUUAAAUUACUUAAAACGUUAAUUGUAGCGUUUAUUCAAAUUAAAACAGAGCAUUUCUGCGAGUAAAUACAUG